rnacentral:tRNA from 1 species
GGAGGCGUCGCCUAGUUGGUCUAUGGCGCUCGCUUGGAAAGCGGGUUGGGUGCAAGCCCUCGCGGGUUCGAAUCCCGCCGCCUCCG